CAGUAACGGCGAGUGAAGCGGCAACAGCUCAAAUUUAAAAUCUGGCUCCGUCGGGGUCCGAAUUGUAAUUUGUAGAGAGUGCUUCGGGCGAGGCCUCGGUCUAAGUCCAUUGGAACAUGGUGUCACAGAGGGUGAGAAUCCCGUAUGCGACCGUGGCUCGAGCCGAUGUGAAGCCUCUUCGACGAGUCGAGUUGUUUGGGAAUGCAGCUCAAAAUGGGUGGUAAAUUUCAUCUAAAGCUAAAUACCGGCUGGAGACCGAUAGCGCACAAGUAGAGUGAUCGAAAGAUGAAAAGCACUUUGGAAAGAGAGUCAAACAGUACGUGAAAUUGUUGAAAGGGAAGCGCUUGCAACCAGACCUGCCCGUAGGCGAUCAGCCGCUGUUCUCAGCGGUGUACUCGCUCUGCGAUCAGGCCAGCAUCGGUUUCGGCGGUCGGAUAAAGGCCUUGGGAAUGUAGCUUCUCUUCGGGGGAGUCUUAUAGCCCUCGGCGUAAUGCGGCCAGCCGGGACCGAGGACCGCGCUUCGGCUAGGAUGCUGGCGUAAUGGUUGUAAGCGACCCGUCUUGAAACACGGACCAAGGAGUCUAACAUCUAUGCGAGUGUUUGGGUGUCAAACCCAUGCGCGGAAUGAAAGUGAACGGAGGUGAGAACUCUUAAGGGCGCAUCAUCGACCGAUCCAGAAGUCUUCGGAUGGAUUUGAGUAUGAGCAUAGCUGUUGGGACCCGAAAGAUGGUGAACUAUGCCUGAAUAGGGUGAAGCCAGAGGAAACUCUGGUGAGGCUCGCAGCGGUUCUGACGUGCAAAUCGAUCGUCAAUUUGGGUAUAGGGCGAAAGACUAAUC
rnacentral:rRNA from 1 species